UAUUUCCCCCGCUUCUGGCCCAUUUCUUUCUGCUCACAUCUCUGCAGCUGUGUCUCUUUUAGGAACAACCUUGAAUUAAACACUCGGGGGCCAAGCCACAGAGCAGGAAACCUCAUAGCAGUGGGGUAAAUGCCCAGGGGAACCUCACUUCCCAUGACACUGCUCCCUGCAGCUCACAGCAUAGAGAGCCUGGAGGAUUGGAGCUGCAUGCCCCCGGUCCCCGGCUGUGAAUUUUGCUUUUUAAUUUUUUGUCCCAGCCUUCAAUGCUUCAAUAUUUCUCCUGCAACCCAUACAAUUGGCAGAUGGGACAUGGAGUGACCAGGAACCGUGUCGGAUGGGUCACCUCGGCUUUACUUGCUCGGUGCACGUCCAAGCUCCCCAGCCAAACUUUGCCUGAGUGCCAGCCUGGGUGAAGCACGGUUUUGCACUAGCCCAGAACUGGGUAAUACUUUGUAAUUUCCCUGGGGAAAAAAAACAUUGUGGUUUCCACCAAAGACCUCCUCCCAGCCAGAAAAUUCAAUUUCAAGCUUGACAAUUCCCUUACAAAACUGCAAAUUUACUUGCAGCUCUCUUAAUGUCCAACCCCCCCCCUUUUUUCCCCCUUGUUUUUCUUUACUCAGCCCAUUAAAACAAUAAAAGUGAAGCUAUUUAUUUACAAGGAUUUAAUGCCUGUGUCCCUAACCAGGGGCUCACGAUGGAGAUGGUCGCUGCCAGUGUGGACCUUUGGUGCUCUGCGGACAGCGAUGUUGAGGCUGAUAGGACUUAGGUUGCCCGAAGUGGUGGGUUCAAAGCCAGCCUGAGCUCCAGCAGGGCUCCUCUGAUGGGUCCUCACCGGGACAGGACAGACAGACAGCUCCACUGCAGCCGUCCUGGCAUGGAAAAGAGGAUCAACAGAAGCAGGACAAGGACAAGGGUCUGCAGAUGUCUGGAUCCAGCCCCGGCCACCCGAGAGCACAAGAGGAUACGAUGUGCAGGGAACUGAUGUCAUGUGGAGCACCGCGUGUGAUGGAUAAAACAUCCCAACCUACAAGCAGAAACCUCCCGGAUUUACCACAGACCCAUUUUGCAAGCAGCCCAGUUAAACCAGCGCCCUGGUUCCUAAAAUCCCUUCCCAGGAAUCUGGGUUCCCCACGCUGGGUUUCUCACCUGGCUCCCACGCAGCGCCCACUGUAAUCCAAGCAAACCCCUGAAAAACAUCCAGCCUGAUUAACCUGCUUCACUCCGAGAAGGGCUCCCUAAUUUGCAUGCAGCGGGCACGCAGCGGCUUAAUGGAAUUAGCAGUAAUUAACGGCACCGACUGGCGCGUGCAGCUCUGGGGGACCGCGAGCCCACAGCACAGCACCCGGUGACACUUGAGCCACCGAGGGCUCUGGUUCAGUGGUUCCUCAUCACCGAGCUCAGCUGCCGUGUUGACUCACUGCCGGGCAGCGGAACGGAGGAAAUUGGUUGAAAUAUUGCAGCGUUGUGUAAACCUGGGGACAAGUCCGACUUCUCAGGUAAGAGAAGCAGCGAACACCGCAGCCAAAUCCACUCCGCACCUGGGCAGACCUGUCCCGUCACCUGUGAGUCAUUGCUUAACAGGAUUUAGUUAGUCUGAAGUCUUCAAGGGUUAUUUUUGUUGUUGCUGUUAUUUUAUUUUUUUUAUUCUAUUUGUUCAAGGCUUUUCUUUAAUCUUGUUUAUAACGUCCCGCCUAGGCUGGAAUGAAAACAAGAUUAGGUGCUAGUUAGAAGAUUAAAACCAGCGAUGAACCUGCGAGCCCCGACAUCAAAGCAGAGCUGUCGCAUGAGGGAUAUUUUUAUACAGCUUAUUUGAAAAGCAAACAAACUCCAGCUGGGUUUUCUUGCUGCUGGCAUUAAUUGAAGUGGGAGGGCUGAUUAACGGCUUGCUGCUGCAGGUCUCUCUGCCACGUUCCCCCAAAUUUGACUGUUCGCUCUCGAUUUGCUUUGCAGCUGAUGUAGGGCUCGGUGACUUUUGUCCGUACGCUCGCAUCCCGUGGUGUUCGUGGUCAGGAUGGAGUAGAAGCCCCUUUCGUGGACCAAGAGGACCCAUCCUCUUCAGCUACCAGCACGUGGCCCAUCAGCAGCUUCACAUCAGGUCUGUACAUCCAUCACAGCAACCCCAGCCAAACACACGACGAAAUCCUGGUAUGGACCAGGUCUUUGGCAAAAUCAGCAUUAUGUUAUGUCCG